CGGAGCGUAGCGCAGCUUGGUAGCGCAUCUGAUCUGGGAUCAGAGGGUCGAAGGUUCGAAUCCUUUCGCUCCGACCA
rnacentral:tRNA from 1 species